rnacentral:rRNA from 1 species
AUUGAACGCUGGCGGCAGGCCUAACACAUGCAAGUCGAACGGUAACAGGAAGAAGCUUGCUUCUUUGCUGACGAGUGGCGGACGGGUGAGUAAUGUCUGGGAAACUGCCUGAUGGAGGGGGAUAACUACUGGAAACGGUAGCUAAUACCGCAUAACGUCGCAAGACCAAAGAGGGGGACCUUCGGGCCUCUUGCCAUCGGAUUUGCCCAGAUGGGAUUAGCUAGUAGGUGGGGUAACGGCUCACCUAGGCGACGAUCCCUAGCUGGUCUGAGAGGAUGACCAGCCACACUGGAACUGAGACACGGUCCAGACUCCUACGGGAGGCAGCAGUGGGGAAUAUUGCACAAUGGGCGCAAGCCUGAUGCAGCCAUGCCGCGUGUAUGAAGAAGGCCUUCGGGUUGUAAAGUACUUUCAGCGGGGAGGAAGGGAGUAAAGUUAAUACCUUUGCUCAUUGACGUUACCCGCAGAAGAAGCACCGGCUAACUCCGU